CCCGUCUUGAAACACGGACCAAGGAGAUUCCAAUGCAGCGAGGUGAAUGAGGGGGGGAUAAAUCAGUAGCCGAAAGAGAUUGAAUAGUUGUAUUGGUAAGACCCGAAAGAUAGUGAACUAUAUCUGAGAGUAUUGAAGUCAGGGGAAAUUCUGAUGGAGGAUAUAAGCCGUUCUGAUGUUCAAUUCGAUGGCGAGAGAUGGGUAUAGGGGCGAAAGACCAAACGAACUAUCAGGUAGCUGGUUCCAGCCGAAAUGUCUCGCAGGACAGCGGUCGCGAAGGAUAGGAAGAUGCAGUAGAGAGGAUGUGGACGUAGUCAACAAACUCCGAAGGUGUUUCAGCACACUAGAGAUAGAAGUGUAAAAAUCUAAUAGGUCGCGACCAGUGGGCAGAUAGUGGUAAGCAUGAUCUGCAAGAAGCAAAGAAGCUGUAGUAGGAUAAGCAACCUAAGAGAACAACACGCAAGAAAGUAGAUGGUCAAGUAUAGACAGUAGGACGGUGGCCAUGGAAGUAGGAAGCCGCUAAGAAACGUGUUAAAACGUACCUAUCGAAUUUGGGAUAGACUAAAAUAGAAGGUGGUGAUGUUUGUAGCGAGACCUAGAGAAGGUAGGCAGGCAUAUUUUUAGCAGAGAAGGGGUGUUGUGAAGCAUCGUGGAGGGAAGAAUGGAGCAGAUCUUGGAAGUAGUAGCGACUAUUAAUAGGACAUAUUGAGACGGGUUCAUCCUUUGUAUAGAAGGAGGUGAUACGAGCCUAAAUAAAAGGGAGACGUUUGAAUAAUGACGUUAAAGCUCAUGGAUAGUGAUAUAAGAAGGACGAUUGGGGAAGAGAAGAGAUGAGAAUUUGUUUUUUUUUUGAAAGAUGUGGAGAGUUAUACGAAGAAGCAUAAAGACCAGUCCGAUGAAAAGACAGGAGAGAUAUCGUACCGAACUGCAACAGGACUCAAGGGUGAAUAGCCCGAUGUGCGAUAUAAGUCAAGUAAGGGAAAUCGGCAAGAAGGAUGAGUAACUUUGGGAGAAUUAUUGGCUCUAGCAUGCUAGAACUGGGCUUACACGGGGAAUCUGACAGUUUAAUAAAAACAUAGCUUUCUGGUAGAUAGAAAGUGAAUUCUGCCCAGUGCUUGGGACGUUAAGGAAGUAAUAUUUAGUACGCACAUGUAAACGGCGGGAGUAACUAUGACUCUCUUAAGGUAGCCAAAUGCCUCGUCAUCUAAUUAGUGACGCGCAUGAAUGGAGCAACGAGAUUCCCACUGUCCCUACUUGAAGAGGGCGAACCUACAGCCAAGGGAACGGGCUUGGGAGAAGCAGCGGGGAAAGAAGACCCUGUUGAGCUUGACUCUAGUGAGAUAGAGAGUUUUGUUGUGAUGUCGUAGCAAGGUGGGAGAAAGGUGCAAGACCACUGGCAUAUGUGAUGAAAUUGUUAAAGAUCUGAUGGGGAGCUUGGCUGGGGCGGCACGACUGCUAAAUAGUAACGCAGUUGACCAAAGGUAAGCUUCGAGGGGAAGGAAACCACUCAUAGAGCAGAAGGGCAAAAGCUUGCUUUAGGCGAUAAUGAUAGUUAACGCUACCGGAAACGGGGGCCUAUAGAUCCUCUUCUAAGAUAGGAGGAGAGGUGACGGAAAAGUUACCACAGGGAUAACUGGCUUGUGGCGGCCGAGCGAACAUAGCGACGCCGCUUUUUGAUUCUUCGAUGUCGGCUCUUCCUAGCAUGGUGAAGCAGAAAUCACCUAGUGUUGGAUUGUUCACCCACCAACAGGGAACGUGAGCUGGGUUUAGACCGUCGCGAGACAGGUUAGUUUUACCCUACUGCAGUAGAAGAGAGAGUAGGUCAGAGGAGUACGAGAGGAAGAGCUGAUCAGGACCACUGGUGAAGCGGGUGUAUGUUAAUGCAACGGCACAGCUACGUCCUAUAGUAGAAAGGCUGAAGGCCUCUAAGCCUGAAAGCAGACUUGAAUUUUCAAUAGAUGAGAAGACGACUUAGAUAAGGAGAUAAGCUGUACGAUUCUAGCCUUGAGCGAGGAUUUGAGGCAGUAUCAAUUCCUUUUAUAGGAGCA
rnacentral:rRNA from 1 species